rnacentral:lncRNA from 1 species
UGGUGCAAAGGCAUGUGCCGUUUUGCAAGUUAGUUCUUAUUAACUUUCCUCUAAACUUGCUACUCGAUAAUCAACUUAAUUUCCUAAAAGAGCUAGUAUAAUUGACUAUUUUUAUCUAGAAAUAGUUACAAUUGAUUGUUUUUUAUCUUACAAUAUACUAGUUGAUUGAUUCAAUUUGACUAAGAUAUAGUGUUUUUCCAUUACAGAUCGUACCGUCGUUCACCUCUUUGCACUUUCACCUACUCUUAAACGUCGUUCGAACAAACUGUAAUCCCUCCUUCAAAACCCUCACCUCGGUGUGCUUCCUGUGCUUCCCCACCUCACCACCCAUGCCCGACUUCGUUGAAUAAAAGCAAGGGCUUAGGUCUCCACAGCCCCACUCUCCUCGACCCACUGUUCCCAUCACAACAUCAAUGAUGUGGGGCCUUGCUGUGUCCAUGGGUGGUCGCCUACGAGGCAUGGCCCGCUUAUGCUCCACUAACCCUCCCUUUCGCCUCGUGGGAUGCAUCCCGCGCCUCCUCAAUGCUAGCGCCAGAGGAUAAGGAAGACCUUCUCGGUUCACAUCAUGAUGCAUUGCUACUUCAAGGUACAUAACUCAUCUUCUCUUGUACCCACACUCAUCGAGCCAAGAGUUUUUUAUCUUACAACUAGAGGGAAGAAUAUAAUGAAGUAAGGAUACGCUAUGUUCCCUAGUGGCAGGAUGGGUAUAGAGGGCUUGGAGCUUCUUACGUGCGUCUCGACACUAGAGGGCACGGCCGGUCUAAACAAUAUUUUGGACAAAAAACAUAAAUUUGAAAUAAAAUUGUAUGCUUAUUUAACUAGUUUUAUAAUACUAUAGCUUCAAUUAGUACACUUUUAUAUUACUUAGCUAGCAUGGUCAACAACAUCUUUUUUGCUAAAUAAUACUUACGGUGUUCUUUUCAUAUGGUUUUAAAAUGUAUGUUACUAAAAUUUUGCUUCUUCUAAAUUUAAAAUAUAUAAUAUUAGAAAUUAUUUUUAAAUUAACUCCUAAAAUUUAUUAACUAUAUAGUGUAUUACUAUAUAUUAAUAUGUGUGUGUUCAUAUAUAUUAACAUCAUUAAAUAUUAUUGUAGAUAUUUGUAAAAUAUACAAUGUAAAAAAUAAUAGUGGUUUCUAUUGUAUUAUUAGUUAAGAUUAUAUAAACUUCUAGGGUAUGCCAAAUGUGUCUUGCAUGUUGGGUUCAUUAACAAAUUGGAAAC